rnacentral:rRNA from 1 species
GAUGAACGCUGGCGGCGUGCCUAAUACAUGCAAGUCGAGCGAACAGACGAGGAGCUUGCUCCUCUGACGUUAGCGGCGGACGGGUGAGUAACACGUGGAUAACCUACCUAUAAGACUGGGAUAACUUCGGGAAACCGGAGCUAAUACCGGAUAAUAUAUUGAACCGCAUGGUUCAAUAGUGAAAGACGGUUUUGCUGUCACUUAUAGAUGGAUCCGCGCCGCAUUAGCUAGUUGGUAAGGUAACGGCUUACCAAGGCAACGAUGCGUAGCCGACGUGUGAGGGUGAUCGGCGACACUGGAAGUGGAACACGGUCCAGACGCCUAAGAGAGGCAGCAGUAGGGAAUCUUCCGCAAUGGGCGAAAGCCUGACGGAGCAACGCCGCGUGAGUGAUGAAGGUCUUCGGAUCGUAAAACUCUGUUAUUAGGGAAGAACAAAUGUGGAAGUAACUAUGCACGUCUUGACGGUACCUAAUCAGAAAGCCACGGCUAACUACGUG